rnacentral:misc_RNA from 1 species
AACGGUCUAUACCUGCGGUACCUGCGGAGGGAUCAUCAUCCAAUUUUCAUCCCCUCCUCCUCCUCUCUGGAGGAAGUGGGUCAAUGAUAAACCCUUCUGUGCACCGUAAUCCGUUCACUUUGGCUGGCUUUGGUGGCGACGCUCGUCGUCUCCAACCUCGCGUUUCCCUCCGGGGCUACGCGUGGCGGCCAGCCGGAGUCCUACGAAAAACUCGUUUUUUUCUUGAACACGUCUGAAAAU